AUUGAACGCUGGCGGCAGGCCUAACACAUGCAAGUCGAACGAGUGGCGGACGGGUGAGUAAUGUCUGGGAAACUGCCUGAUGGAGGGGGAUAACUACUGGAAACGGUAGCUAAUACCGCAUACCAUCAGAUGUGCCCAGAUGGGAUUAGCUAGUAGGUGGGGUAACGGCUCACCGAGGCGACGAUCCCUAGCUGGGCUAAGAGGAGGACCAGCCACACUGGAACUGAGACACGGUCCAGACGCCUAAGUGAGGCAGCGGUGGGGAAUAGUGCACAAUGGGCGCAAGCCGGAUGCAGCCAUGCCGCGUGUAUGAAGAAGGCCUUCGGGUUGUAAAGUACUUUCAGCGGGGAGGCGUUACCCGCAGAAGAAGCACCGGCUAACUCCGUGCCAGCAGCCGCGGUAAUAC
rnacentral:rRNA from 1 species